AUCCAUCCACCCGGUGCCAAGUCGGGAUUAUAACUACGGUGCACCUGCAAUCUGUGGCCAAACCUCCGCUGGAGAAAUCACCGAGCAUUAAACCCUAAUUCUCCCCUCCCUCUCCAAAGGAAAAAAAUGAUCAGACAGAGGUUAGGAUGGUUUGCUUUUGGUUUCACUGCGGCCUCUGCGACAAUCGGCGUCUUUGUCUACAAAGACCUUCAGGCCCAUCGCAACGCUCACUUUUCCCAAGCUAACGAGGAAUACAAUGUCCUUAAUACGAGAGUUACUAAUCUGGAACGGGUUUGCCUGAAUAAUCCCAAAUCUAAUGUCCAAUCGGGUGGUAGUGAUUUGAAAUAAUUACGUGGAGUGCUGUUUUAUUGGGACUUCAACUCAUCAUAGAUUUUGAGUGUCGACAAUUGCAAGGUUAUAUUGUUCUGGAAUUUUUUUCUGGCCAUCCUGGGUUCAUUGUACAUUAUGGCCUUAUGCUGUUUUGGUAUUUUCAGCAAUUAUUGGAUUUAAAAAGUAUAAUUUCUAAUCUGUUUACAGUUACUCUAUUUCUGGGAAUUAUAUGAUUCUGAUUUGACACUGAAAGAUAGGUGCAUAUUUUGGAAUAACAUUAGUGUAUAUGGAGGCUCUCUCUCUC